GAGAAGUCAUUUCAGAAGCUCUUCUCGUGAAAAAUUCUCUAGGAGCUAAAUUCUUUCGGAGCUAAAUUCUUGUUUGGUAAGUGAACAACUUUUUGAAGAGAAAUUUUUAUCUUGUUCAUCCUCGACAUGCAUUAUUGUGUUAAUAAUUAUUUAAUCAAUUCUCUUUUAGAAUGAAGAACAACGACACUGCAGCUUUUCCGCUGUUUUACUUUGCGAGAACCAUUAUGAAAUCUACGACUAAGAAUAUAUCCCCCGCCUUUGAAUUCCUCGCCUGCAUGGUGGCGUCGAAUACAACGAAGAAGUGAUUGGUUUCACAACCAAGUAAACCUUCUGUAACGCGAAGCCGUGGAGACGCUGAAUAGUGGCCCAGGUUGAACACCACGACAACGACAACGACAACGAGAUUGUUGCCGAAAUGCUCGCAGCUCGCGACUGAACGCCAGAUCAAAAUCAUCGCAAUCUGUUGCGUUUUUCACCGUCGGCCAACUGCCACACGAAGUGUGUCGACGCCCAGACAGCAUUCGUUAGAGCGAGCUUGCAGAAAGACCAGCAUGUGCUUCGUUUAUACAACACCGUUUUGGUCGAUUAAACAACAUGGACAAGAUUAUGAUGCUGUCUCGGCAUGCUUUCUACAAGGUAAAACCUUUUUCUCAUGAUCAUUCUAAGACAAAUACAACACACCGUACUUAACAUGGAUUUGAACUGCGAUGAGAAAUAUGUUGUUUAUUUUCAAAUAAAAUAAAAUAAAAUAAAAUUACUUAGUUAUGCUAUAAGCGUUUGAAAAGUAGGAGAAAGUUGCGGAUUUAUAGAAACUCGACUGCCCGUGGGCAAAAACGUUUCCGUUUCGAACGAAUUUCUGGUCGAGAAUUGACUGGGAUGGUUUGAUAUUUGUACAUAACAUAUAUUUGUACGACAAUAUUAAACUGAUGUAACAACGUUUUUAUUUCGUAGUUUUUCAAAUGAAAUCUCUCUUUCCAAGCCAUUAAACUUGUAAUCUGCGAGUCGACGCACCCUCGUGCACAAAUUCCUUCGAAAUAAAUUUCUUUGAAAAUCAUAUCUUUGACAAUGGAAGCACUGCAUGUCCCACAAUGCCAUGCAGUCAUGUGCCACGAGGAAGGAGGAAACUUUAAUAAACCUCUCUUUAAACGUUUCUACAAAAUAUUUCUAUUAUGUACCUAUCAAUGUUUUCCCCCUGAGGGGGAGGGGGGUGGGUGGGGGGCGGGCAACCCAGGGGAAUUUUGACAUUUUUGAAAUUUUAUCGUCAAAAUCCCCACUGUUGGGCAAGGAACGGCUGUCAAAAUUAAUAUUCCCCACUAUAUUCCUAAGAUAACAAGGCACACAUAUAUUUUCCAAUGCGAACAUACAGUCUAUACUGGUUUAAACUUGGUAAAAAUUGAGACACUGUGUAUAAAAUACCUUUUUCGAUGAAACUUGAUCGUGCUUCUCCGCCAUACUUGUUACCAGGCCUUUUAAUGUCAAAACCGCGCAAACUUUCAAGAUGGCGGAUGUCAAAAUUUCCCGACUCUGGGAGUUGAUGCAUAGGUCAAAUUUCCCUCCCUGGUGCUUCAUAGUGUGAUCAAAGUCCCCUGGGUCGCCCCCCCCCCCCCAUCAGCGGGAAAACAAUGAUAGGUGCAUUAAUAUCGAUAUUUUAAUCUUUUAUACCAGUAUUAAAUUGCAAAGGAGCUGUGAAAGCAAGAUGAAAGCAAGAUAGUUUGAGAGACGUCAAAUAGUACUUCAAGACAAGUCAGGUGUCGAAGUUUCGCUUCGAAUUUUACCGCAACUGGGCGAGGCCACAACCGACUUCAAACAACAUGCUUAUAAAACAACGCAUUUUAAGG